CUGGAUUAGAAUGCUGCUCCUGCUGUUUCUGUGACGGUGGGCUGCCUGUUAGAGUGCUUGCGUGCCUCUCCAUCUCUCCCUCACACACUCUAUCUUUCUCUUGCUCUUGAUCUGUCAGUGGUCCUCUCUCCUUCUCUUUAAAGCUCCUUCUUUUCCUCUCUCUCUCUCUCUCUCUUUCUCCCUCUCUCUCUGUUCUACUCUGGCUACUGCAGUAGUCCACCAGCCAGCCGCAAGUCUGACAGUCACACACAUGGCUAACUGCCACAACUUACUACCUCAGCCUGGAGAAAAAAAAUAAGCAAGCAGAAGAAGACUGCAGAAGACAGCCCAGGGGACAAGCAGCGAGCGAAGAGAAGAAUCCUCAACACCUUUUCUUGCUUAUGGAUACAGAUAUGGAGCCCACUUCCACAUCCUCACAGCGUCAUCCUCUCUCUUUUCUCUGAUUGCAGAAGAGGACAAGAGUGCUCUCUCUCUCUUCCGACAGCCUUUUGCGAAGCUCCAACAGCGCAGCGUAUCCCCAUCUCCACCCCCCACACAGCGCCACCAUCUCUCCCACCACCCCCAACCCCCCUCCCCCCAGGAGGAAUAGACGGAUUACUGCUAACUGUGCACACGGCAGCCUGCAGCUGCUCUGACCAGGGCCAGCCCAGCGUUUGGGAGGAAGCAAGAGGAGCACAGAGGAGGAGAAGAGUGAGGGAUGACUGUGCCGGGAGUUCUUUAGCCUUUUUCUGUCUCUCAGUCUCUGUCACAACAGGGCUAAUCAGCGACCGACAAGCCCUUGGCAAAGUCACAGUGAGGGAGGUCUCUCACCCAAACAGGCAACCAGCCGACGAGCCAACACAUGUAUCAGGAGCUGAAAGAACAGGGGGAAUUAAAAAAGAAAAAAUCACUUGGUCACUUCUUCUCUCCUCCUCUGUCGUGUUUCGCAGCGUUAUGGAUCAUUGUGAUUUAUCCUCAGUGGAGCUGCGUUUUGGAGUCUGCAGCCUGGCAGGAGGGCAGUUAGUGG
ensembl:lncRNA